UCCUAAAAAGCUAGCCCAACCCUUAAAAAAACAAACCCCUUUAAAUUAAAUACCUACGAAACAAUUAACAAACCAUUUUACCUCCCUAGUACCCGGGCGACAGAAAAGGAAACCUGGAGCUAUAGAAAAAGUACCGCAAGGGAAAGCUGAAAGAGAAGUGAAAUAACUACCCCAAGCUACAAAAAGCAGAGAUAACCCCUCGUACCUUUUGCAUCAUGAUCUAGCCAGUAUCCCUGAGCAAAGAGAGCUUUAGUUCAGCCCCCCGAAACUAGACGAGCUACUUCGAGACAGCCUAUGAUGGGCAAACCCGUCUCUGUUGCAAAAGAGUGGGAAGAUCUUUAAGUAGAGGUGACAAACCUAUCGAGCCUAGUCAUAGCUGGUUGUCUGAGAAGUGUAUAUAAGUUCAGCCUCCCGACUCCCCCCAUCCAGGACAUUCAUGUCUCCCGAGACCGAGGGUGACCGAGAGAGUUAGUCAAAGAGGGUACAGCCCCUUUGAAAAAGGACACAACCUCACCGGGAGACUAAAGAUCAUAAUUAACCCAAGGAGUCUUGUUUUAGUGGGCCUAAAAGCAGCCACCUAAGAAGAAAGCGUUAAAGCUCAUACAAACUCCGCCCCCUAAUACCGAGCCCAACUCUACACUCCCCUCCUAUUAUCAGACCGUCCCACAAACCCUGGGAAAGACCCUGCUAGAAUGAGUAAUAAGAGGGGCCGCCCCUCUCCGCUACAUAUGUGUAAAUCGGAACGGACCCCCCGCCGAUAACUAACGAUCCCCCAUUCGAGGGACAUGUAAUGCUGCACGAAUAGCUAGAAACCCUAACAAAAUUAAUCGUUAACCCAACACAGGUGUGCAUACCCGGAAAGACUUAGAUAAAGGGAAGGAACUCGGCAAACACAAGCCUCGCCUGUUUACCAAAAACAUCGCCUCUUGCAGAAACGAACGAAUAAGAGGUCCCGCCUGCCCAGUGACGAUGAGUUAAACGGCCGCGGUAUACUGACCGUGCAAAGGUAGCGUAAUAAUUUGUCUCUUAAAUAGAGACUAGUAUGAAUGGCGUCACGAGGGCUUAACUGUCUCCCCUCUAAAGUCAAUGAAAUUGAUCUCCCCGUGCAGAAGCGGGGAUAAGCUCGUAAGACGAGAAGACCCUAUGGAGCUUAAGAUUUAAAGCAGCCCACAUCGACCCCUUCCCCCCCAGGAAACAAACAGACUGGCCCUUGCUGACAUAUCUUCGGUUGGGGCGACCACGGGGAAAAACAAAACCCCCACAUGGACCGGGGCCACUCACCCUAAAACAUAGACCCACAGGUCAAGUCAACAGUACUUCUGACCACCAAUGACCCGGCACAAGCCGAUCAAUGAACCUAGUUACCCUAGGGAUAACAGCGCAAUCCUCUCCGACAGCCCUUAUCGACGAGGGGGUUUACGACCUCGAUGUUGGAUCAGGACAUCCUAAUGGUGCAGCCGCUAUUAAGGGUUCGUUUGUUCAACGAUUAAUAGUCCUACGCGAUCUGAGUUCAGACCGGAGUAAUCCAGGUCAGUUUCUAUCUACGCAUUGAUCUUUUCUAGUACGAAAGGACCGAAAAGAAGAAGCCUCUAUCAACGACACGCUUCACCCCCUACUGAUGAACACAAAUAAAACAGACAAGGGGCAAAAUCUCUACGCCCUAAAAUAGGGUUA
rnacentral:rRNA from 1 species